rnacentral:rRNA from 1 species
UACGUAGGGACCAAGCGUUGUCCGGAAUCAUUGGGCGUAAAGAGCGUGUAGGCGGCUUGUUAAGUCUUGCGUGAAAUCUCGGGGCUCAACCCCGAGCGGUCGUGAGAAACUGGCAGGCUAGAGUGCGGGAGAGGAGAGUGGAAUUCCUGGUGUAGCGGUGAAAUGCGCGGAUAUCAGGAAGAACACCCGUGGCGAAGGCGGCUCUCUGGAACGCAACUGACGCUGAGACGCGAAAGCGUGGGGAGCAAACAGG